AUCCGGGUUGCGGACAGUGUCUGGUGGGUAGUUUGACUGGGGCGGUCUCCUCCUAAAGAGUAACGGAGGAGCACGAAGGUUGGCUAAUCCUGGUCGGACAUCAGGAGGUUAGUGCAAUGGCAUAAGCCAGCUUGACUGCGAGCGUGACGGCGCGAGCAGGUGCGAAAGCAGGUCAUAGUGAUCCGGUGGUUCUGAAUGGAAGGGCCAUCGCUCAACGGAUAAAAGGUACUCCGGGGAUAACAGGCUGAUACCGCCCAAGAGUUCAUAUCGACGGCGGUGUUUGGCACCUCGAUGUCGGCUCAUCACAUCCUGGGGCUGAAGUAGGUCCCAAGGGUAUGGCUGUUCGCCAUUUAAAGUGGUACGCGAGCUGGGUUUAGAACGUCGUGAGACAGUUCGGUCCCUAUCUGCCGUGGGCGCUGGAGAACUGAGGGGGGCUGCUCCUAGUACGAGAGGACCGGAGUGGACGCAUCACUGGUGUUCGGGUUGUCAUGCCAAUGGCACUGCCCGGUAGCUAAAUGCGGAAGAGAUAAGUGCUGAAAGCAUCUAAGCACGAAACUUGCCCCGAGAUGAGUUCUCCCUGACCCUUUAAGGGUCCUGAAGGAACGUUGAAGACGACGACGUUGAUAGGCCGGGUGUGUAAGCGCAGCGAUGCGUUGAGCUAACCGGUACUAAUGA
rnacentral:rRNA from 1 species